UAUAAUUAAAAACUAAAACUGUAAUCGAAAGAAUCCAUUAUUUUGGUGUAUUGAGAAAUCACUCAAACCGUUUUUCUAUGAAUACAUAGAAAAGAAAAACUUUACUAUAUUCUUUUAUCAACUCUCUAACUGAAAAAAAAAAAAAACUCCGUGACUAAAGAUAAGAAAACAAACAAAAAAAACUAUCAACAAUAAUACCAAUUAUAAUUACAGUAAAAAAAUUCCAACAUUCCACCAAUCUCUCUCAAAGACAAUAAUACAUUAUGACUAACUAGGCCAAACCAACACCUUAUCAGACAAAAGAAAAAAAGCAGUUAUAAUUAGUUGUAGUACGUAUGAAAAUUGAACUGUGUAGUAGUAGUAAAGUGAAAAUUGUAAGAAACACAAGUUGGAAAAAAUUGAUAAAACAAGACAGAUUUGAUUUUGUCCUUUAAAGAUAUGCUUCCAUGUGUGUGCUCUGAAAAAACAUCACUGCCAUCACGUGAAUCAACCUGACCAAAACCC
rnacentral:lncRNA from 1 species